rnacentral:rRNA from 1 species
AAUGAACGUUGGCGGCGUGGAUUAGGCAUGCAAGUCGAGCGAGAACCCCGCAAGGGGGGACAGCGGCAAACGGGGUAGUAAUGUGUCGGAACGUGCCCUCUGGACGGGGAUAGCGGCAGGAAACUGCCGGUAAUACCCGAUGAACUCGAGAGAGCAAAGGUGUGAUUCCGCCGGAGGAGCGGCCGACAUGGUAUUAGCUAGUUGGCGGGGUAACGGCCCACCAAGGCUGUGAUGCCUAGGGGAUGUGAGAGCAUGAUCCCCACCAUUGGGACUGAGACACUGCCCAGACACCUACGGGUGGCUGCAGUCGAGAAUCUUCGUCAAUGGGCGAAAGCCUGAACGAGCGACGCCGCGUGCGGGAUGAAGGCCCUUGGGUUGUAAACCGCUGUCGAGGGGGAUGAAGGCUGGAAGGUACUCCUUCCAGUUUGACAGAGCCCUGGAGGAAGCACGGGCUAAGUUCGUGCCAGCCGCCGCCGUAACAC